GACGAACGCUGGCGGCGUGCUUAACACAUGCAAGUCGAACGGAAAGGCCCUGCUUUUGUGGGGUGCUCGAGUGGCGAACGGGUGAGUAACACGUGAGUAACCUGCCCUUGACUUUGGGAUAACUUCAGGAAACUGGGGCUAAUACCGGAUAGGAGCUCCUGCUGCAUGGUGGGGGUUGGAAAGUUUCGGCGGUUGGGGAUGGACUCGCGGCUUAUCAGCUUGUUGGUGGGGUAGUGGCUUACCAAGGCUUUGACGGGUAGCCGGCCUGAGAGGGUGGCCGGCUACAUUGGGACUGAGAUACGGCCCAGACUCCUACGGGAGGCAGCAGUGGGGAAUAUUGCACAAUGGGCGGAAGCCUGAUGCAGCAACGCCGCGUGCGGGAUGACGGCCUUCGGGUUGUAAACCGCUUUCGCCUGUGACGAAGCGUGAGUGACGGUAAUGGGUAAAGAAGCACCGGCUAACUACGUG
rnacentral:rRNA from 1 species